AAUAUUGCACAAUGGGGGAAACCCUGAUGCAGCGACGCCGCGUGGAGGAAGAAGGUCUUCGGAUUGUAAACUCCUGUUGUUGGGGAAGAUAAUGACGGUACCCAACAAGGAAGUGACGGCUAACUACGUGCCAGCAGCCGCGGUAAAACGUAGGUCACAAGCGUUGUCCGGAAUUACUGGGUGUAAAGGGAGCGCAGGCGGGAAGACAAGUUGGAAGUGAAAUCUAUGGGCUCAACCCAUAAACUGCUUUCAAAACUGUUUUUCUUGAGUAGUGCAGAGGUAGGCGGAAUUCCCGGUGUAGCGGUGGAAUGCGUAGAUAUCGGGAGGAACACCAGUGGCGAAGGCGGCCUACUGGGCACCAACUGACGCUGAGGCUCGAAAGUGUGGGUAGCAAACAGG
rnacentral:rRNA from 1 species